GGCAUGGUGGCCAAGUGGUAAGGUGUUGGUCUAGUAAAUCAAUGAUCAUGGGUUAGAUCCCCAUCCAUGCCU